GUUCUUUGGUGUUUUCUAUUUUAUCUCUGGAUCUGAUUCAGAUCUGUGAAAUUUCCUAUUGGAUCUUUAAAAUUUUGGCUGCUAUUUUAAUUUUUUUUUUUUUUUAAAUUGUUUUUGGUUAUAUAUGUGUUUUACCUGGGCGUCAGUAAUGUACGGGAUCUUUCUAUACAUCAAUUGCUCCGCUGUUCACUGGAGUCUCGGUGUACACAUCAGCUUCGUUAGAUGUGUUUUACCUGGGCGUCAGUAAUGUACUGGAUCUUUCUAUGCAUCGAUUGCUCCACUGUUCACCGGAGUCUCGGUAUACACAUCAACUUUGUUAGGAUUGAGUACUGGUGGCCUAUUUCAGCUCAAAAUUUUCAACUUCCACAGUAGGCGAAUCCAAGGU